rnacentral:rRNA from 1 species
UACAGAGGGUGCGAGCGUUAAUCGGAAUUACUGGGCGUAAAGCGCGCGUAGGCGGCUUUGCAAGUCGGGUGUGAAAUCCCCAGGCUUAACCUGGGAACUGCAAUUCGAGACUGCAUUGCUAGAGUAUGGGAGAGGGAAGUGGAAUUUCCGGUGUAGCGGUGGAAAUGCGUAGAUAUCGGAAGGAACAUCAGUGGCGAAAGCGGCUUCCUGGACCAGUACCGACGUCAGGCACGAAAGCGUGGGAGCAAACAGG